GGGUCUAUGAUGACAUAACAAUGUCAUGCAGAUCGAUAAACACAUAAAAAUCAUUUUCAAUAGGAUUAUGAUGAGACCC
ensembl:snoRNA SNORD115 Small nucleolar RNA SNORD115